GUGUCCCACUCAGCUGCUCUCAGCUGCAGCCAAUCGGCUAAUUGGGCAGGCUAUAAAGCUGGCAGAAGUGUGCUCUGCAGGGGAAGAGGAGGCUGUGCUGCCUCAAGCAUGUGCAUAAUAUAAAUGUAAUUAUGAGUUAAUUUGCCUUACUUUUCUUUAUAUUUUGUUGAUUUUGAUGAGUUGACACAUGUCCUUAAAAACACUGUAAAUAAAUACUCACUACUGGGAAAAGAGACGUCUGCAGUGUUGCCUUCCUACAACCUUCCUCGACACUUGAGCCUGACUACACUACAGUCCUACAAAAGACAUGAUUUUAAAUUGGCUGAAGUCGAUGAAGAAAGGUCCUGAAUCUCCAAAUGAAAAAAAUAUCCACAUAAACAUGCAAAUCAGCAGUCUGCUCCUUUAAAAAUGCACUGCUGGUGACAUUUGGACACCCACAUCAGUCCUCCAGGGUAACUCUUCAUGUGAGCAGUCAUGUCUCCUCACUGUGCUGCUAAGUGUUCAGAUGUGGACUCUGUGUUGGUGCUCUGGAUGAAGACAGAUAAAACGUCCCUCAGUCGUCCAAACAGCUCUGCACGCUGAUUAUCACGGCACUCAGAGGCCUCGGGCUCAGAUUUAACAACCUCAGCAGGAGCCGCUGCCUGCAGCUCUCGGUCCUGAAACAAGGAGAACCCUCUGCUGCAAUGUUGACAUCUGCUGGCUGCAGAGCUGCAGCACAGGACAACAUGAGACCAGGAACCUGCUGGUUUAUAGUAGUAUCCAAAACACAACAAUAGACUCAUGGGAGUAGGGUACUGGGACAAGAGAUUUCACAGAAAGCAGAUAAAAUCGAAUGAGGAAACAAUUUAAACAAUUAUUUUUAAAAAUUGGGUGGACUAAUUAAUCACUGAUUAUUCUCACAAGCACUGUGGAUUCAAAUUUGGUCAGAUCAUUUAAUUAAUAAGGGUUAAAAAUAAUGAAUUAAAGAAAAAAUAUUUGUACUUCACUUUUUUAAUGUGGAGGAACAUUUGGGAACACUCGUGUAAAGGAUAAUGUACAUCCAUUUAGCCACUGUAGCGGAACUAAGCCCCAUGCAGGACCCCGACACAGAGCAAAGGGGAGCUGUAUCACCCCAAGGGUGAUGACGUACAACAGAGCUCAGCAGCUGUAUGCAGCAUUAACUGUUCUCUUACAAUAUUUUAAUGUGUGUAAUGAACCUCUGAGAAAACACAGUUUGUUUAACAGGUUUAACAGACAGCAUUGGCAAAAUAUUAUUUCAUAGAAUUAUGGCUAUCAUUUUUCAUGCUUUCCACUCUGGAUCUUGCUGUCGUGCGUGUGUUAUGUCUUGGGGUAUGAAUAUAUAAAUGUUUCAUGUGAUCAUGAUACGACUUUUAAACAGAGUAAACCAAUGUA